rnacentral:rRNA from 1 species
CUCUGCGCAAGGGAUCUUUUGGUUCGCUAGACGAAGAAGGGCGCAGCGGAAUGCGAAAUGUGCAGGAGUCGCAGCGAAGACAGCACAUGCCUGAAAUCACGAGAGUGAGACUACCCCUUUGAAUUAAGCAUAUGAGUAAAGGGAGGAAAAAAAACUAACAAGGAUUCCUGUAGUAGCGGCGAGCGAAGAAGGAACAGCCC